rnacentral:rRNA from 1 species
GACGAAGGGGGCUAGCGUUGUUCGGAUUUACUGGGCGUAAAGCGCACGUAGGCGGAUCGUUAAGUCGGGGGUGAAAUCCUGGAGCUCAACUCCAGAACUGCCUUCGAUACUGGCGAUCUUGAGUCCGGAAGAGGUGAGUGGAACUCCUAGUGUAGAGGUGGAAUUCGUAGAUAUUCGCAAGAACACCAGUGGCGAAGGCGGCUCACUGG